rnacentral:lncRNA from 1 species
UCUCCAACUGUGACAGAGGAUUCAUUUUUUCUCCUUGUGAUUCUCUUAGUUUUUGCCUCACGUACUCUGGUGCUCUAAUUUAUGCAUAUGCGCAUUAAGAGUUCUUAUAACUUCUUGGAGAACUUAUCCCUUUAUCAUUAUGCUAUACCCUUUUUUGUCCUUGAUAGCUUACCUUUCUCUGAAGUUAGCUCUGUUUGAAAAAUACUAUAGAUAUUCCCACUUCCAUUUGAUUAGUAUUAGCAUGGUAUAUCUUUCUCAUUCAUUUACUUUAAAUUUAAUUGGGUCUUUAAAUAUUAAUUAGAUUUCUUUUUGAAAAUAUAUAACUGGGUCUUGUCCUUUUUUUUUUUUUUGAUCCAUUGAUAAUCUCUGUCUUUUAAUUGGUGCACCUAGAUCUUUGAUAUUCAAUAUAGUUAUUUAUACCGAUGGAUAAAUAUUUACCAUUAUGUUACUGUUUUAUACUUGUUGGCCUGUUCUUUGUCCCUGGCUUAAUUUUUUUCUUCCCCUCUUUUCUUGCCUCUGUGAUGUUAUUUGAUCAUUUUAUGUGAUUCAUAUUUUUUCCCUUCAUAGCAUAUUAUAUUUAUAAUAUAUAUCUAUAUCUCUAUCUAUAUAGAUAAUACACAUAAGCUUUUUAAGACAUUGCCCCAGAGUUUCCAAUAAUUUCUAUUUCAAAUAAUAUGGGGCCACGUCAUGAAUUGAGUAUCUCAUGAUAAUAAUUUAAAAAAAUCCUAACUGCUCUCUCUCAUUCCUUUUAUCAUUCUUGUUUCAUGCUGUCAUUUAUUUUAUUUAUAUAUAAUAUAUAUGAGAUCAUACAUAAUAGAACAAUUAUUAUUUAAACAAACUGUUACUUAGCAGAUCAAUUAAGAAAAAUAAAAUAUUUUAUUUUAUAUUCACGUGUUCCUUCUUUAGUACUCUUCCUUUCUUUAUGUAUACUUGAGUUUCUGACCUCUAUUAGUUAAGAAAUACUUUUGAAGAACUGUGAAGCUGGGAGAUCCUGGACAGGAAAAGGACUUAUGACCUAUUGUCCUCUCAGCCCUUCAACCCUCCCUUGAAGCCCCUCAAUAAAAUGGAUUGAUUCAAAAAACAAACAAACAAAAACUCCCUUUGACAUGGCUUGAAAGACUGUCGAUUUACAACAAAUACUUUCAAUUUUUGUUCCUCUGAGAAAGGAUACCUUUGCAGGGUAAAGAUUUCUAGGUUGGUGUGUUUUUCUCUUAAUAUUUUAAUUAGAUCACUCUUUUCUCACUUGCAUGAUUUCUGAGAAGUUGGAGGUUUCAACUGAGUUAUCUUUAAGCUCAGAGAUUCUUACCACAGCUGUAUCCAGUCUACUAAUAAAGUUAUUUUCUCUUUUGUUUUAGUAUUUUUAUCUCUAGGAUUUCUUUUCAUUUCUUUCUUAGGAUUUCCAUUUCUCUGCUAACAUUGCCCAUCUGUUUUGCAUGCUGUCUACUUUAUCCAUUAGAGCCAUUAGCAUCUUAACCAGAGUUGCUUUACUUUCCCAAUCUGAUAAUUCUAACAUCCCUGACCUGUCUGAAAUUGAUGCUUGCUAUGUCUCUUCAAAUUAUGUUGUUUGCUUUUUAGUAUGUCUAAAAAUUAUCCGUUUUUUUGUGACAGUUGCACAGGAUGUACCAGGUGAAGGAACUGAUGUAAAUAAACCUUUAGUAACGAGGUACAAUGGGAUGAAUAGAGGAGAAGCUUCUUAGGUCCCUUAAAUUAAGUCUCAGUUUUUAAUGAGAUGAUGCUUCUGGACUGUGAAAUUCACCAGUGUUUUUAAGUGUUUAUUUUUAUUUUUUUCUCUUUCUCUUUUCUUAGAUGAGAGAGGUUGUCUAGAGUAGGGCUGACAAUUUGCUUUCCCUCAGGUUGGUUAGGUUUUCAUAAUACUCCAGCAGGUUAGGCUCUGGCUAACUAGUUUCUCUGAUGGCUGGCUUUGAUAAGAAGAAAAGGGUGUUGUGACAUAUUUUAAAAAUGAUACCUACUCUCUUCCCACUGGGGAAGCAUGAAGUGAUAUUUCCCCAAUAUUUACUGUGAAAACCUGGUCAAACUCCUAGAGGUAAAAUUUCACAAAACUAUGGCUCCUCCUAUGCUUAAGUCCUCUUGGAGUUUUUAACUCCCAGGAUUGUCAGCAGUGAAACUCAACAAUUUGCCAAGCAAUUACAGUACAGAUUUUCUUACUCUGGUAUUGGUUCCCAGGGUCAUUUUCUUUCAUGAGUCUCUACUCAGGUAAGAGUAUGUCCCCCUGUGGAUGCCGGUCUGUCUUGCCAGUCUUGGGGACAGUGGUUUGCCCCAUGUCCGCACCUCUAUUACAGAAUCUAAAAGAGCUUUUUUAGAGUUUUUCAGUUUGCUCAGCUUUUCACUUACAGUAAGGACAGAGUGGUGACUUACAUAUAUAACUCGAAACUAAAAGUCCCCGUGCAGGUUUUUGGAUACCUCAAAAAAAGCUGUUAAAAGAGACAAAAAAUACACUUGGUGUUGUGUGAAGCCUAUUCUUUCUGGUGAGUUAUACUGUCACUCUGAACCUAAGAUCACUAUUAAUAGGAGAAUAUAGAAUAUACUGUAAUGUGACAACCAAAUAAAUUUCACAACAAUUUAAUAAAAUUCAACCCACAGUCAUGUUAAAAACCUCAUGAAACUAGUAAUAAAUGAACUUACUGAAAUUAAAGAAAUGUAUGGGAUCCUCAUGGAAACAGUAUACUUUAUGACAAAGUAUUAAAAUAAUCACAAUUAACAUAAGGAUCACAACAAAGCUGUUUCACAGUUCAACAGCUGAGGAUUCUAGUCAGAGGAACUCGACCUAAACAAACACACACAAAAACCAGCAGCGGGAAUAAUGUUAUGUGAGGGACUAUAAUGCCACGGGUAGAGCAUAAGGGUGUUCUACAAGGAGGAUAUGGCACGAACUUGGGAAAUAUAUUGUGAAAUAUAUUACUUCAGCAGCACGUUAUCUCAGUGGUGCUUGUGCAGGGACAUUUUUAUUUGCAGAUAACCUAAUUUUGUAAGUGGAAAAGCCUAAGCAACGUACUCAUAUACAAAACCAGGAAAUAUAUUGAUUACAGGUGCAUGAUACAAAGUCACCUAUGUCAAUUAUGUUGCUAUUUGAGAAACAAAUAAUUGGAAGAUAAAAAGCUAAUACAUAAAUGUUAAAUAUGAAAUCAACAUAAUCCCUAGGAAUAAAUUUAACAAGUAUACAAAACCUCUACAUUGAAAAGUAUGAGAGACAUUAGAGAAGAUAUAACUAGGUGAGAAAAUACACAUGGUUGUGAAUUCUGACUCAUUACUGAUGUUAAUCUUUACUGAAUUAAUCAACAGAUUAAUGGUCUGAAUCAAAACCCUUGACUUUCUGAAACUGAUACACUCAUUGUAAAAUUUAUAAAGCACUGUAAAUAAUUAAAACAGGCAAAGUUAUACUGAAAAUGAGAAGUUGGUAAAUUUUAAUUUCUUGGUUUCAAGACAAUCUACAGUAAUGAAGAAAGUAUGAUAUUAACAUAAGAAUAUAGAGCUAGAGCAAUGGGACAAAAUAGAGGCUGGAAAUAUAAUUGUCACUUUAUUUUCUUCAAAAGCUCCAAAGAAAUUCAACUGGGAAAAUAAAUUAUUUAGAAAAAAUUGUUCCUGAACAAUUGUACAAAGGAAGGGAAAAAACAAUCUUGACUCCUAACUUUCAUUAUAUCAAAAAUUAAGAUAGGUCACAGGUUUAAUCAAAAAAGCUAAAAUUAUGGAUAUUUACAAAGAAAACUUAGAAGAAUAUUUUGGUAUUCUUGUCAUAGGAAAGUAAUUUUGAGACAGAGAACACUAAUAAAAAGAAGUAACAGUGACACAUUGCACUUUAACAAACAUUUCUCUACAUCAAAACAUGUCAUUUAGAAAGUGAAAGACAAGCCACACAUUACAGAAAAUGUUGGCAGUGCAUAUAUUAACCAAAGGAAAAAUAUCCAGAAUGUAUUUUUAAAAACACUAGAAAUAAAUAACUGAAAUAAUGUAACAUAAAUGAAUGAAAGUUGGAGCACACAUUUUAUAAAAAAACAAUACGCAAAUGGCCAAUUAGUCCUUGAAAAAGUUUUCGUUAUCAUUAGGCAUCACGGAAAUGCAAUAUGAAAUCACCAUAAGAUAUGAUCAUCAUUCUUUAGAAUGGCUAAAAUUAAAAAAAACAAACGAAAUUCUGGGAAGGAUGUGAAAAAAAUCAAAAUUUUCAUAUGUGGCAUAGUAUACAAAAUAACACAAUCACUUUGGAAAACAGUUCAACAUUUUUCUUACGAAUUUCUUGUACCUGUUUUCAUAGAUAUUUAUCAAAGAGUAGUAAAAGCAUAUAAAAGAUCUGUAUAAAAAUGUUCAUAGGAGUUUAAUUUAUAAUACCCUCAAUUUGGAAACAAUCAACAGAGGAAUGUAUACACUGAUCAUAGACCAACACUCAGCAAUAAAAAGAAUGAGCUACUCAUCUAUGAAGCAACACAUGUGAAUCCCAAGGGAAUAAUGUUGAGCCCAACCCAAAGAUUCAUAUCAUAUGAUUCUAUUCAUAUGUAAUUUAAGAGGACACAAAUGUAGCAUAAGCUACUUAAAAUCAAAACAGGGUUUGCUGUGUGGAGCAGAUGUUGGCAUUCAUCGGAAAUGGGCAUGAGGAUAUUUUCUGGAAUGAUAGCAAUAUUCUCUAUCUCGACUGCAGUGCCAGUUACUUCAGCACAUAUUCCUCAAGCCUCCUCAAAUUCAGCAAGAUUUGUAAAUUUCAUUGUCUAUAAAUUAUGUCUCACUCUUAAAAUAAACAGCACCAUGACAACUGAAGGACUGAAGGUGAAAAAUAUAUUAGAGAAAUAGUCCUAAAAUUAAACAGCCAUAAUUGUUCCUAAAAUAUAAGACAACAGCAUGUCAAGUUGUUUGACUUCACUUAUACUAAGAUAAUUGUAAAUUACAACUACUUUGAGACAGGUAUUUUUCACCUUUUAUACUGGCAAAAUUCCAAAACCUUGAUUAGACAAGGCAAGACCAGUAAGUGUGGCGGUAAAACUACUUUCACAUAUUGAGAGUUAACAAUGAUAAAAUCCCUAAGGAGAGAAUUUGGAAAAAUCUUUUAAGACACAUUUGCUUUGGCCUUUUGUCUAGUACUGUCACUUUUAGAAAUUUACCAUAAUUGGGAAACAAACAAACAGUGAUAUAAUAUCAACAACAAAAGUACAUGCACAAAUACACGCACAUGGAAUUUUCAUAGUAACAUACUGGAAAUAAUCUAACCGCGUACUUAGGUUACUGACUGGAAAAGAAGAGGUGCAUCUACAUUUAAGUACAUCAUUACUACUAAAAGAUCAUUUGUGAAUUGGUGCAUUUUUGUUGUAUGAUAAUAAUAAUACUACGCGGUUGUUUAAAAAUAAGAAAAAUCUAUGAACUUCUUUAGUAUGUUUUCUACAUUAUAUUUUAAUGUUAAAAACAAGGUGUAAAAGUAUACAUGUUACUUUUUAAGUAUAUAUUCAAAAUAAGGUGAUUUUGUGAAUAAUUUUAUACAGGAACAAUAAAGUAAUGAAAAUAGGUGUUUAUAGGACAUAGGUUAAAAGCCAUAAAAUGUGGAUUUAACUUUUGUGAAUAUGCCUUUUCCAUCGUUGUGAAUAUCAUAUCAUGUCUUUAUUACACAUCAAAAUAAUAAGUUAAAUUUGUUUAUGGUAGUAGUAAGUAAUAUAUUUAUAGUCUCAGGAACAUCUUUUCUUACUCUGGGAAUGGAAUGGAGCAAGAAGACGGGAGGAAGAGUGAUUUUAAGCUAUGAUUUGAAGUGGAAUUCAAGGCAUCAAAGUUAAGUCAUUUUUAAAAGACAGGAAAGCUGACUCCUCAUUAGCAAUGGUCAUAUUUUAUACCCACUCUAGAUACUAUUCCCUUCUGGAAAAAACAAAAGCUAAAGCAAACAAGCAAAAAAACUAGUGCUUCUUCCAGAAAUGACUGGCUACAUUCUAGGACAGGGGAAUUUCAAAGUAAGAUGAAAUAUCUAAAUGUCCAAUAAAGUAGAAAAUGCUCCGACUAAUGGAUAUCUGGCCAAAAUACAUAGGAGCCAGAUUAUACAGUUCCCACUGGCCAAAAAUGAGCUGCAAAAUGAAUAAUGACAGAAAUGGCUUCCAAUACGUCAAUUUCUAAAAAAGAAUAUACAAGUCCAUACUUACACUAAGACAAAAUAAUACUUAAAAAGGACGAAAGAAUAAAGGAAAAAGUUUUCUUUAUAAAACAAUGCUACUCAGUAAAUGGUGGGUUUAACUUAAAAUUCAGUACAUAUUUUACAGAAAAUUUCCAUGAAAAUAAGUCAUUUUAUGAAAAUGAAUUUAAAAUGAGUAUUUUGUAACACUGUAUUUGAAAUUUUCUAUUUAUUUAUGAACAUUCAUAAUGAACUCAUUUAAAAUAUUAAGGCACAGUGACACCUGCUCACGUGGAAACCAUUAACAAUGUUAAGUCACAAUCCUUUUUGUAAAUUAUAGGUAUAUAUUUUAGGUUUCAUGGGCAAAGAUGAGUAAUGCUUUUUAUGUAUGCAUAUUGCUAUGUAAGAUACUCUCAAAU